rnacentral:tRNA from 1 species
AAGAAAUUAGUUAAUUAAUAACAUUAAUAUGUCAUAUUAAAAUCAUUAUAAUAUUAUAAUAUUUCUUU